AUCAGUUAAGACAAUAUUACUUAAUUUAACAAAUGUAAACUAAUUUAGGUUGAGUUAAACCGAUUUAAAGAUUUAGGAUGGUGUAAAUCGACUUAAAAUGAUUUUAAACAUAUUUAAAUUGUAUAAACUGGAUUUUUAAAAAAAUCAUUUCGCCUAGGACCAAUAUGCUGCCUAAACACCUAUACCAAUUUUCAGAACCAUGGGCUAAAGGAUUUGGGUUCCUUCAGCUUUUGUUGCCGAAGAGAGAAAGAUUAUAUACGGUUUGGUUUAUCUUGAUUCUACAUAGUAUCGGUUUGGUUACAUUUAACUUAUUUAUUUCUGUUUGAUUGCAGUUUGGUUUGGUCUAUAUUUUUCUUCCGAGUAAAUUGUUCACAAGAAAAAAACAAAAAAAUCAAAUUCUUUUGCUUAGUCAUCAUCUCCAACCAAUAGCCUUUUAUUUAAAAUUUUUAAGACAAUAAAAGAAAGAGUCAAUUUGUUGUAUAUACAUCAUGUGAGCCAAUAUUAGCUAAAUACCCCACGCACCUUAAACAUCAUUUCUCUGUAGCAUUUUUGUUGUAUUCUUCCCAUAAUGCCUUUUUUUCUACGAUCUCAUCAGAUUUGGCCUCAUAAAUUAUAGCUUCCUAUUCAUUUCUUAGGUUUGCCAGCACAUUGAUUUUAAACCAUAUACUUUAUAUUUUUAAUAGUUUUUUCUUUUUUUCUUUAUCCUAUUUUCAUUAUCGUCAAUGUUUACCAUCUCUUUAUUUUGCUUCCUCAACUCUUCAUCAACAAUCAACAUGUUUUUAGUUGUUCCUCUCUCUCUCUACUUAUUGAUAAUUCUUCUUUAGUGACCAUUUUCUUAUUUGAGAACCACAAAAUUAUUAGGAGAAUCAUUUGUUCUCGUAAUUAGAUGGUGAGAGUGAAUCUCUGGGAUGCUAGAAGAUGGUGAGAGUGAAUCUUGAGAUUCAAAAGAAGAGGAACACAUAAGUAAAGACAAUCGUGAAGGUUGCAUAGCAUAUAUCUUAGAAGAUAUACAUGUAAUGUUAGCAGAUAACAAUAUUCUUAUAAUGUAUAUGGUAACAAAGUAAACUUCAAGAAAGAUUAAUUUCAAUGGUGUAAUGGUAUUUAAAAGGGUUAUUAACGAAUAAUAAAUAUCUUAGAGGAUC